UACGUAGGGGGCAAGCGUUGUCCGGAAUCAUUGGGCGUAAAGCGCGUGUAGGCGGCCUUGUAAGUCCGUUCUGAAAGCCCGGGGCUCAACCCCGGGAGGCGGAUGGAUACUGCAAGGCUCGAGUACGGAAGAGGCGAGUGGAAUUCCCGGUGUAGCGGUGAAAUGCGUAGAUAUCUGGAGGAACACCGGUGGCGAAGGCGGCAUCCUGGACCAACACUGACGCUGAGUGAGCGAAAGCCAGGGGAGCAAACGGG
rnacentral:rRNA from 1 species